UUCUGGAAUUCUGUGUGAGGGA
rnacentral:miRNA from 1 species